AGGAGUUUGAUCCUGGCUCAGAACGAACGCUGGCGGCGUGGAUAAGACAUGCAAGUCGAACGAGAAACUUUUGGAGCUUGCUUUGGAAGUUUCUAGUGGCGAACGGGUGCGUAACACGUGAGUAACCUGCCCAAGAGAGGGGGAUAGCUCGAGGAAACUCGAAUUAAUACCGCAUACGGUCUACCAGGACAUCCUGGGACGACUAAAGGUGGGGAUCUUCGGACCUGCCGCUCUUGGAUGGACUCGCGGCCUAUCAGCUUGUUGGUGAGGUAAAGGCUCACCAAGGCUACGACGGGUAACUGGUCUGAGAGGAUGAUCAGUCACACUGGAACUGAGACACGGUCCAGACACCUACGGGUGGCAGCAGUCGAGAAUCAUUCGCAAUGGGCGAAAGCCUGACGGUGCGACGCCGCGUGGAGGAUGACGGCCUUCGGGUUGUAAACUCCUGUCAUCAGAGAGUAAGGUUUUUUGGUUAAUAACCAGAGAAAUUGAUAGUAUCUGAAGAGGAAGGGACGGCUAACUUCGUGCCAGCAGCCGCGGUAAUACGAAGGUCCCAAGCGUUGUUCGGAUUUACUGGGCGUAAAGAGUACGUAGGCGGCAGGGUAAGUCAGAUGUGAAAGCCCGGGGCUCAACCUCGGAACUGCAUCCGAUACUGCCUUGCUGGAGUAAUGGAGAGGCAUCUGGAAUUCACGGUGUAGC
rnacentral:rRNA from 1 species